rnacentral:rRNA from 1 species
AUGCCUCGCCUCUGCUCCACCACGCCCAUGGCCCGCCUCCGCCGCCGGCGCCGCUACUCCUCCUCCACCUCGUCGCCUUCACGCCGUUGGGACCCCCGAGCCGCCUUUGCCGCGGCCACGGAGCGCAUCCGCGCCGGGACGCUCAGGCCUGAAGACGCACACCACCUGUUCGACGAAUUGCUACUGCAGGCCAACCCCGUCCCCGAGCGCUCCCUCAGCGACUUCCUUGCCGCGCUCGCCCGUGCUCCGUCCUCCGCUGCUCUCAGAGAUGGACCCUCCCUUGCUCUCGGCCUCUUCAACCUCGUCUGCCGAGAAGAAGCAGGGCCGCAGGUGGCGCCACCCACAACCUGCACCUACAACAUACUCAUGGACAGCUGCUGCCGUGCACGCCGCCCGGACCUAGGCCUUGCCUUCUUCGGCCGCUUCCUGAGUACGGGCCUCAAGGCAAACCAGAUCGUCGCCACCACCCUCCUCAAGUGCCUCUGCCACGCAAGACGGACAGAUGAGGCAAUCAACGUGCUGCUCCAUAGGAUGUCUGAAUUCGGAUGUGUGCCUAAUGUCAUCUCAUACUCUAUAGUACUUAAGAGCUUAUGUGAUGAUAGCAGGAGCCAGCAAGCGCUCGACUUGCUCCAGAUGGUGAGGAAAGGAGGUGCGGCUCCCUCAGUGUGGUGGCAUAUAGCACAGUGA